AUGAACGUUGGCGGUACGCCUAAUACAUGCAAGUCGAACGGAGACUGUAGCAAUACUGUCUUAGUGGCGAACGGGUGAGUAACGCGUUGGUGAUCUGCCUCGAAGUGUGGAAUAACGGUUCGAAAGAACCGCUAAUACCGCAUAGUCUCUCUUAUUUUAGAAAUUUGAGAGUAAAGGAGUAAUCCGCUUUGAGAGGAGCCUGCGUCCCAUCAGCUAGUUGGUAGGGUAAAAGCCUACCAAGGCUAUGACGGGUAGGGGACCUGAGAGGGUGACCCCCCACAAUGGAACUGAAACACGGUCCAUACACCUACGGGUGGCAGCAGUAGGGAAUAUUAGUAAUGGAGGAAACUCUGAACUAGCGAUACCGCGUGUGCGAAGAAGGCCUUCGGGUUGUAAAGCACUUUUUGAGAGGAUGAGGAAGGACGGUACUCUCAGAAUAAGUCUCGGCUAACUACGU
rnacentral:rRNA from 1 species